UACGUAGGGUGCGAGCGUUGUCCGGAAUUACUGGGCGUAAAGAGCUCGUAGGUGGUUUGUCGCGUUGUUCGUGAAAACUCACAACUCAAUUGUGGGCGUGCGGGCGAUACGGGCAGACUAGAGUACUGCAGGGGAGACUGGAAUUCCUGGUGUAGCGGUGGAAUGCGCAGAUAUCAGGAGGAACACCGGUGGCGAAGGCGGGUCUCUGGGCAGUAACUGACGCUGAGGAGCGAAAGCAUGGGGAGCGAACAGG
rnacentral:rRNA from 1 species